CUGGCACAAAGCUGGCGGUGGCACAGAGCCUCGCAAAGGGCACUUUCACCGAGGGAGAUGCUGCUGGUUGCUGGCAGAGCGUGAGGGGUCUGAACUGCUAAGGAUGGCUGGUCAGGAGCAAAGGCUUUGCUGCCUUAUCCAGGAAUGUUCCGUUCUUUCAGCAGCUCUACUACACCCCCUGUUCACUUUCAUCUUUCAGAAAAUGAAAUCAUUUUCCUGGAAUGGUUUGAGUUGAGAGGGACCCUAAAUCCCACCCAGUGCCACCCCUGCCAUGGCAGGGACACCUCCCACUGCCCCAGGCUGCUCCCAGCCCCAGAGUCCAGCCUGGCCUUGGGCACUGCCAGGGAUCCAGGGGCAGCCACAGCUGCUCUGGGCAUGCUAAUAAAUAAAGACAUGAAUAAAUAACCCAG